UACAUCCAGCCAAUUUAUUUAGACUCUUCAGUCUUGAAGUUUCCUAUUCAGUAGGAUUUGAAUGGCAUUUCCUCCUACUUCAAACUUGUUCAUCAGCAUUUGGAAUCAGGGAAUGAAGCUGAUAAAUAUUUCAGUAUUGGGCCCAAGCUAUGAUUUUGAAGUUAAAUACAAUGGCAAUGAAACAGCAAAGUAGUUCUAAGGGUCAAAUUCUGGCCCUACUGGUGUUUGCUACUGAUCAACUGACAGGAAAUCUCUGAAUCUCUUCUUCUAUACAUUAAACUUGGGGUUCAUUUUUCUAGAGGACCACAAGUUGUUUUGUCAAAGCAGAUGUUGUCUUUUGCACUUGAUUGACCACUUAAUGACUCCGACUCAGCAAGAGAUUAUCCCUGGAUUGCUGCAUCUUCAGGAACUAUGAACUGAAGCCAAUGGGGCCUACAUCUCCGACUGUGCCAUGGAGCUUGCUUUUUCAGCACCAGCCCUGUGAAACUAACACAGAACAGGAUUACAGAGCUGAGCAAGUGAGGAAGGAGUCAGAGCACUGGACUCUCCAUUUACCAGCACCACAAAGAUGAUAAAACUCUACAGAAACCAGAGCCACUGUGGUUUCUGACUAGCAUGUCGUUUUCUGAGCGGUAAUCUCAACCCAACUAGAAACCCUUGAUGGCAUGCCUGUGGUUUUCACAAAGAGCUGCCCCCCAUCCCAAGAGAUGUGUGCCCUGCAGGCCUGCGGCUGGCCACAUGAGAUGCAGCAUGCUUAGCGCCUGGUGCUGCUGGUGGCUGUCACCCCUCUAACUCCUCCCAGGGAGGCAUCCAAGGAGUCUCUCUCACACAUAUUGAUCAACCACAGGCACGAGAUAACCAAAAAUGCAAAUAUUGCCUCAGUGUGGUCUUAAGUCAAUAUUUUGAGCUGCUGCCUGGCCUGUUUGAUGACAGCCAGAGGUUGGAGGUCACCUACCUGUUGAUGGUGGCACUGGGAGCACAGGAGGCAGGGUCAGCAAUCAUCCAUGCUACUGUUCAACUAGGUUUGUUUGCUGAUCGAGUCUGUCAGCUACAAAACUCAUUCCGGUCUCUCCUCUGGGAGCUUUCUCCUGAUACAGAAAGAAGGGACGUAGAAAAACCCAGUUCUUCUUACCAACAGCUCCUAUCUUUAGUUCUUCUGAAAUGUCUUUUGACCUUCUUGAAAACUUCUGGGAGAUAACGGGAAUAAAUCCAGAGGGUUUGUCACUGAACCCAAAAAGUAGUAGGAUUUGGUGCUAAACAGUACAGCUUGUGUCCACUACAUCGGAGAGAGAAGCUAUUUGUGUAAAGCUUUGCAAAGUCUGUGCUGCUGCUCUGCUCCGCAAAGGAAGCCUGGCAUCUAGUGGACGUUUUGCUGUUGCAUCACUUUCACCUUUUUGCUUAGCAGAGCUGACAGCUAGCUACCUAUAUAAAACCUAUACAGAAUUGAGCACCGAUGUCCAAUUCAUGCACACGACUGCAAGUUGUUGUGAGGUGACAAAGUCCUAACUAUUGUUCAAUGUUCGUUCUGAGUCUCAUCUGUCUGGCUGCCACUUGGAAAAAUACAUUGGAGCUGCUAUUUUAAACAGCUCUUCUAUGGGACUUGCUUUUCUGCAGUACAUUGUUUUCCAUGUUUUGUUUUGUUUUGUUUUGUUCUGUUUCCCCACACUGAAUACAAACCUGUGGGGGGAAAAAUCUUAUUUACAACGAAAUUGGUCUGAAUACCUACUCAGAAUGAGAGAAUACAAGAUAGAGUACAGAUAGAAGGUACCAUGGCAAGAACUCACAUCAGUAAGUGUCAAAUACAUUUUUGUGUUUUCAUUAGUUGUUCCAUCAAGAUGCAAGCAAUGUUGAAUUUCUUCUUUCCUUACAUUUUGAAUUUAACGUGAGCAUUUAGACUACUUCUCUUGAGCACACAUUUAAGUUUCUCUUCUCUUUCAUGUUAUUCUGAGCUUAAUGGAGGCCAAGUUGUAAGUUAUAACAACUGCUGUGUGGCACAGUUGCUUUGUUACUUGGUUUUGGUUUUUUUUUUUUUUUUUUUGAUCUGUUGCUUUCAUUUAGAGCAAUAUUUUGCUGUUAUUAUUCACGCUAAGUUAUGCAUUACUAUGUACUUAGUCCAAUUAAAAGUAAUGGGAUUAAUUCUGGAAUAAGAUAAUAUGCAGUAUUAACAGAAGG